UCUCCUGGGAAACGGGUGGUAAUGCCGGAUGCUCCAGUUGGAUGCAUGUCCUUCUGGGAAAGAUUCUAUCGGUAUGGGAUGGGGUCGCGUCCUAUCAGCUUGAUGGCGGGGUAACGGCCCACCAUGGCUUCGACGGGUAGCCGGCCUGAGAGGGCGACCGGCCACAUUGGGACUGAGAUACGGCCCAGACUCCUACGGGAGGCAGCAGUGGGGAAUAUUGCACAAUGGGCGCAAGCCUGAUGCAGCGACGCCGCGUGCGGGAUGACGGCCUUCGGGUUGUAAACCGCUUUUGACUGGGAGCAAGCCCUUCGGGGUGAGUGUACCUUUCGAAUAAGCACCGGCUAACUACGUGCCAGCAGCCGCGGUAAUACGUAGGGUGCAAGCGUUAUCCGGAAUUAUUGGGCGUAAAGGGCUCGUAGGCGGUUCGUCGCGUCCGGUGUGAAAGUCCAUCGCUUAACGGUGGAUCCGCGCCGGGUACGGGCGGGCUUGAGUGCGGUAGGGGAGACUGGAAUUCCCGGUGUAACGGUGGAAUGUGUAGAUA
rnacentral:rRNA from 1 species